UCACUUUAGUCUAACAGCUUCAAAUUUAAUUAACUGCUGAUUGUUCCUGAAGAUAUGCUAAGAGAUCAAGAUUCCAAAAAAAUCCAAAGAACGGGGUUUACAGAAGAAGACUGAGUAUUGUCUGACCUCAAGCUUACGGGAUGCCAGAACAGAACAAGAUUACUGAGAAUGCAACUGAAUUUUAGAGACUACCAGUCACCAAGUAAGUUGCUCAGGCACUACUGAGAUUAUCCCGAUAACAUUUGGAUGUUCAGGAGGGUCUUGGUUAGCACCAGUGCCUAUCCCUGCUUCUGCUGAGGAUUUU